AGCGACACAACAAGUCGAACGCACCUAUUGGAAAGUAACGGCGCGUGCGGCUGAGAUGCGGCUGUAGCAGAGUGAAAACAUGGAUGUUUUUGGCGUGUUUCUUCUUUUACAACAUAUUAUCCAGUUCAUUUAUCGAUCCGACCAACACGUGAAUAUAUGAUCCUCGUUCAGAGGUCAACCUCUUUGACAUCAUCAUGCAGGACCAAUAUGUUACCAUUCAUGGGCUUAACAUCACCCACAGCCCUCUUGCAGCACCAGCAAUGUCUAUCGACAAUCUCUUCCCGGCCCUGCUGGAAUGCUUUGGCAUCAUCCUGUGUGGGUAUGUGGCGGGUCGCAGUGACAUCAUCAGCGUGGGACAAGUCAAAGGCCUGGGCAGCUUUGUGUCAUGUUUUGCACUUCCAGCCCUGCUCUUUAAGAACAUGGUGGAGCUGCGGUUCGAGCACGUCGUCUGGUCGUUCCUCUGGAGCAUCUUAAUCGCAAAAGUGUGUGUGUUCUUGUUGGUGGGUGUCUUGACCCUGUUGGUGGCGAGCCCAGAGAGCAAAUUUAGUAAAGCUGGGCUGUAUGCUAUCUUUGCCACUCAGAGCAACGACUUUGCACUGGGAUAUCCAAUAGUGGAUGCUCUGUACAGAAGUUCAUACCCAGAGUAUGUACAGUAUAUAUAUCUGGUGGCCCCUGUGUCCUUGAUUUUGCUAAAUCCGGUGGGCUUUGCGCUGUGUGAGAUCCAGCGAUGGAGACAGACCACCGACUGCAACUACAGCAAACUACACGUGAUGUUUACUGUCGUACUGCAGAUUUUGAAGAAUCCAAUAGUCUUCAUGGUUAUUGUAGGAAUUCUUUCCCAUUUCCUGUUUGGGGGGCGUGUCCCUGUUUUGCUCGGGGAGUUUGUUGAUGGACUGGCAAACUCUUUCGGUGGGGCGGCACUCUUUUACCUGGGACUGAACAUGGUGGGACAGAUGCGCAAGCUCACGCGGACCACAGGGGUUUCUCUUAUUUUGCUUAUCACUGCCAAACUGCUGGUUAUGCCGUUGAUGUGUAAGAACAUGGUGGAGUUAUUGGAUGCUGGUAAUUUCAGUUUUGUGAAUCACUCCAGUCUGUCUGAUUAUGCUUUCUUGUAUGGAGUCUUCCCCACCGCACCCAGUGUGGGAAUUUAUGCUGCCCAAUACAACAUGGAGCUGGAGGUGGUGACCGCUGGGAUGGUCAUCAGCACGUUCCUGUCAGCGCCCAUCAUGUAUGUUUCGGCAUGGUUACUGACAAUUCCAUGGAUGGAGGCCACAUCUCUUGUGACGGAGUUACAGGACGUGAGAUUGAACAUCAGUGCUGUCAGUCUAAUAGCCCUGGUUUGGACGCUUGCUGUCAUGCUGCUGAGUAAGAAGUUUAGGAGACCACCACAUAUGUUUGCCACAAAUCUGUUCUUUGCACAGCUCCUAACAUGCGUGUGGAUGAUCAUCUGGAAGUUUGUGCUGGAGCAGGGGAGCGCAUUUGGCCAGAUUGUCAUCUUUACUCUUCUCUACGGGUGUCUGUACAGUACCUACAUGUGGACAGGUCUUUUGGCGUUUUCUCUCACUUUAUUGAGGAGAAAUGAAAAUUUGAGGGUGAAACCGUGGAUUUUCAUGAUGUUCGGAUGGGGCAUUCCUUUUGUUGUUGUGGGUGGUUUGCUUAUAGUAGGACAAAGAAUGAUGGACAACUUUGACUCCGCCUUCUUUUACGGCAAAGGGCAGAUGGUGUGUACUCUUCUGGUUUUGGGCUGCAGCAUCGUUCUGGGUGGCAUGUCUCUUAUGGGUUUGGGCCGAGGGGUCCAGGAGGAGCAGAACUACGAAGCCCUUGUGCAGAACUUCAUGACGGGUACAACAGAAGAUGUGAGACACCCCCAAACAGACAGCCAGUACUCACCAGUGCUUGCACCAACCCACAGCAGCCUCAACACGGAUGGUUUUGGUAGCGAACCAAUGCCAGAUAUGAUAGUUGGACAUCUCAACGACUCACAGAGGCCAUCUGCAGGGGUUCUGCUGAGCGAGGCGUCAAGCUCUACUCGCGUACAGGAGGAGAGACAGAUAGCUCGGCAUGUACUCCUCUGUCUGCUUCUGAUUAUCAGCAUGUUGGCGAACCUGUCCAGCUGCCUGUGGUGGUUGCUCAAUGCAGAUCCAGGGCGCCUCUACCUGGAGUUGCAGUUCUUUUGUGCUGUAGCCAAUUAUGGACAGGGUUUUAUAUCCUUUGCGCUUUUUGGGUUGGAUGAACAUUUUAUCAUUCUUCCAUUCAAAAAGAGGCUGGCUGCUCUGUGUGGUUUCGGUCAGGGUGAAAACCCCGAGCCAACCGCAGUGCAAGAGGAGAUUCGACUCACCUGUACGCAGUUCGUGCGGUACCACAAAGAUCAGUGCGUUCAGGAUGUCGUCCGUAAUAGAGGUUUCUUCCUCUCUUAUCUGUUCCUUUCACUUCCUUCUUAGUGGAUCUUCUGAAUCUCUUACGGGACCAGUAGGAGAAUCCUUCCUUUGAUCAACAGAUGCCUCCAAAGAAGGGAGAAGAAUCAAAACCACCACCUCUGAUUGGACGUUUUGGGACUUCGUUGAAAAUUGGAAUUGUUGGAUUACCAAAUGUGGG